AAUCAACGCUGGCGGCGUGCCUCAGACAUGCAAGUCGAACGCGAAAGUCCCCUUCGGGGGACAAGUAGAGUGGCGCACGGGUGAGUAACACGUAGGUAAUCUACCUUCGGAUGGGGAAUAACAACCGGAAACGGGUUGCUAAUACCGCAUAAUGCAGCGGCACCUAAUGGUGACAAGUUGGUUAAAGCGGGGGAUUGAAAGACCUCGCGUCUGAAGAGGAGCCUGCGGCGGAUUAGCUUGUUGGAGGGUUAACGGCCUACCAAGGCGACGAUCCGUAGCCGGCCUGAGAGGGCGGUCGGCCACACUGACACUGACA
rnacentral:rRNA from 1 species